rnacentral:lncRNA from 1 species
GUCUCUGACAUAGGUGGGCUCCCAUAUCUCCCAGGCCACCUGUCUGAAGCAGCCCCUUCCUCCUCUGUCCCCAGCCUUGACUUGUUUCCCUGCUGGACACUUGUCAUCUUGUAUGCAGUUGGCCCACGGGCUCUACGUCCUCAGGUUCGACCAACUGCAGAUGGAGAGCAUUGUGGACACGCACAGAUUUUGUGACAUUCUUCCCUGAACACCAGUGUCACGUCGUCCUGGAAUUGCAAGCCAGUCAGACAGGGUUUAGAGCACCCUGUGGGUUCCACGCACCCAUCCAGGGCCAGACCGUGAGUGCCCAGAAGGGGGUCAGCAGAGGCUCAAGUGCCCGUCCCUGGUUGACACAGAGGACGCCUGUGGAUUUGCUUGUCCAGCCCUGCGGUGCCUCAGGUCCGGUCCAGCCAGCGGCACUGGGUCUCAUCAGCCUGGACCUGGCACACAGUAGUGUGUGGCGCCACCGUGGCUGGACCCAAGCUGUCCUGUAAGGUGGACGUGGAUCAUAGCCAAGUUCCUUUGGGAUUCCACAGAAGGACACAGUCCUCCCAGCCAGGCGGCUGUCAACUCAGCCCUCAGCCUCGCAGGCAGCGUGGGGAGAGCACAGCUGUUUCGAGAGCUGCGUCACCCCAUAGGGGUGGGGACCGUUUGUCCCCAUCUCCGUCUUCUCUCCUUCUCCCUGCGUGUUUGCAUUAGGCUCGGCGUGUGCAGCUGGAAGGGUCCACGCGCCCAGGGUGUAGCUCCCUGAAGAGAAGAAAGCUGCGUGGGGACGGGCCCAGCCUCCACUUCUCCAGGGUCACCCAGGGCCUGACCUUAGGGUGCCAGGCUCAAGGGAACCCUCUUAAAUCCCCUCCUCCCCCAUCAAGUUCCUCUCUUGGGUCUCCAUCCAGGCAGGCCAGUUCCUGUGAGGUGAAGGAAGUAGCACUUUGGGGACCCAGAGGGGGUGUCGAAGGUGACCACCCUGGGACAGGGCAUCUGGGUAGAGCAGGAGUAGGGCAGAGCAGGAUGUGGGAGAAGACAGGGAUGGCACAUGGGGGUCACCUGUCACUCAUUCACUCAGCAAACAUUGUGAAGCUAGUUGG